rnacentral:rRNA from 1 species
GUGCCAGCCGCCGCGGUAAUACGAGGGGAGCAAGCGUUGUUCGGAAUCAUUGGGCGUAAAGGGCGCGUAGGCGGCCUGCACAAGUCCAGGGUGAAAGCCCUCGGCUUAACCGAGGAAGGGCCUUGGAAACUGUGCGGCUUGAGUAUUGGAGAGGAAGGCGGAAUUCCCAGUGUAGCGGUGAAAUGCGUAGAUAUUGGGAGGAACACCUGUGGCGAAGGCGGCUUUCUGGACAAUUACUGACGCUGAGGCGCGAAAGCUAGGGGAGCAAACGGGAUUAGAAACCCUUGUAGUCC